GGCCUGGUGGUGUAGUGGUUACACAUCCUCUUUGAUUUGUCUAUUGUGAAGUGUCCUAUGUGGAAGUCCCUGGUUCGAAUCCGGGUCAGGCCA